GUGGGAUGGAGGAGGAUGGAGGGAGGACACCCCUGACCAUGGUAUGAUGGAGGGGGAUGAAGGGAGACCAUCCCUGACCGUGAUGGAAUGGAGGGUGAUGCUGGUGAUGCCUCCAGAGCACCCCUGACCCCGAUGGGAUGGAGAGGGGAUGAAGGGAGACCACCCCUGAUCCUGCUGGGAUGAAAAGGGGCUGAAGGGACACCACCCCUGACUCCAACGGGAUGGAGAAGGAUGAAGGGAGAACAUCCCUGAUCAUGAUGGGAUGAAGAAGAAUGAAGGGAGACCAUCCUGGACCUCACUGUGUUGAAGGGAGACACUGAGGACCCCCAGAGCCUCCCGCACGGCGGCGACGAUCAUCCCAUCCAGCUGCCAGGGUACAAAGGGACAGCUCAGCACCUCUCAGCCCAGCCUGGCAGCCCCAGGUUUCCCCCCCAGAGCACCCACCAGGGCGCGGAGCCGCCGCGGGGUCCCGGCGGGGUCGGUGCCGAGGCGGGCGGCGCUCUCCCCCCCCCCCCCCCCCCCCCCCCCCCCCCCCCCCCCCCCCCCCCCC
rnacentral:lncRNA from 12 species